GCCCUUUUCCGGUUGAUCCUGCCGGAGGCCACUGCUAUGGGGGUCCGACUAAGCCAUGCGAGUCAUGGGGCGCCUUGCGCGCACCGGCGGACGGCUCAGUAACACGUCGGUAACCUACCCUCGGGAGGGGGAUAACCCCGGGAAACUGGGGCUAAUCCCCCAUAGGCCUGAGGUACUGGAAGGUCCUCAGGCCGAAAGGGGCUCUGCCCGCCCGAGGAUGGGCCGGCGGCCGAUUAGGUAGUUGGUGGGGUAACGGCCCACCAAGCCGAAGAUCGGUACGGGCCAUGAGAGUGGGAGCCCGGAGAUGGACACUGAGACACGGGUCCAGGCCCUACGGGGCGCAGCAGGCGCGAAACCUCCGCAAUGCGGGCAACCGCGACGGGGGGACCCCCAGUGCCGUGGCAUCGCCACGGCUUUUCCGGAGUGUAAAAAGCUCCGGGAAUAAGGGCUGGGCAAGGCCGGUGGCAGCCGUCGCGGUAAUACCGGCGGCCCGAGUGGUGGCCGCUAUUAUUGGGCCUAAAGCGUCCGUAGCCGGGCCCGUAAGUCCCUGGCGAAAUCCCACGGCUCAACCGUGGGGCUUGCUGGGGAUACUGCGGGCCUUGGGACCGGGAGAGGCCGGGGGUACCCCUGGGGUAGGGGUGAAAUCCUAUAAUCCCAGGGGGACCGCCAGUGGCGAAGGCGCCCGGCUGGAACGGGUCCGACGGUGAGGGACGAAGCCAGGGGAGCGAACCGGAUUAGAUACCCGGGUAGUCCUGGCUGUAAAGAUGCGGGCUAGUGUCGGCGAGCUUCGAGCUCGCCCGUCCGAAGGAACC
rnacentral:rRNA from 1 species